AGUGAACGCUGGCGGCAGGCCUAACACAUGCAAGUCGAGCGGCAGCGGGUCCCCGCGAGGGGAUGCCGGCGAGCGGCGGACGGGUGAGGAACACAUCGGAAUCUGCCUGGUUGUGGGGGAUAACGUAGGGAAACUUACGCUAAUACCGCAUGCGACCCUGAGUCGACGGACUGGGGGUGAAAGUGAGGGACCUUCGGCCUCACGCGACCAGAUGAGCCGAUGUCGGAUUAGCUAGUUGGCGGGGUAACGGCCCGCCAAGGCGACGAUCCGUAGCUGGUCUGAGAGGAUGAUCAGCCACACUGGGACUGAGACACGGCCCAGACUCCUACGGGAGGCAGCAGUGGGAAUCUUGGACAAUGGGCGCAAGCCUGAUCCCAGCCAU
rnacentral:rRNA from 1 species